GAAGUCUGGUCCAGCUCUUGGCUCAAGGCAGGGCCAGCAGUGAGCAGAUUGCUCAAGGUUCCUGGGAAACUUUUAACUGUAAGUAUUCAGGACUAAUGUGUUUUAGAUUUUUUUUUUCUUUGAGCGUCUCAGAUGGAUUUCAGAGUCACCAGUUGAAGAUCUGUCACUUUUAAGCUAGUGACUUGUACUUCUGAGGUAGAAACUUUCAGGUUUUCUGUGUGGCAAAUGAGUGUUUGCAGCCAUAUCUGUGGGCUUAUAAAAGAAAUGAGGCAGUAGUUAUUUUAUAAGUGAGAGAGAUGUCAUAGGCUUACUUAUGUUCUAGAGUUUGUCAGACCCUUCAGCUUUUCUUCGUAGUUUUUUUACUUAAUGUCAAAGUAUGGGUACGCAUUCUUUGAAAAACUAUGGGGGAUUCUAAAAAUAAAAUUCAAGUGGAAAGCUAACGCUUCAAAUGGCUGAUUGUGUCACAACAUACUCAACUCUGUGACUUUGCCAAAAUCUCAGGAAGAGCAAAGUAGAAAUAGCAAGCUGCAGGAGAGCAGCCUUUGUGAACAGGAGAGACUUUUAUAACUCCAUCUACUUCAAAAAAGUCAACAAACCCAAAGCUCUCAUGAAAACCUGGAUUCACAACAACUUUAGAAGAGCUAAGUUUUCAGACUUUUUUUCGUGUGAAGCCAGUGGAUUACUGUUAUUAGAGAAAUAGAAUUAGGAGCAGGUAAUCUUUUGUUUCUCCUGCAUAGGCUGAGUCUAGCCAUUGCCAUUUCUUUCUGUAUCUGCUCCAUGAAAGGAGUAACUUUGAGCAGAUAUAUAUGCCUUUGUAACUUUGAACAGAUAUGUAUGCCUUUCAGUGGAAAGGUCACUUCUCUGCAGAACAUUUCAGAUCUGUGCUGCUUGUGUUUCAUCACAGGGAAGAUCGUAUAUACAUAACUUAGCCAGGAGAAGUGACAAAAGGAUACUGAGGAAACGGGUCAGCACUCAGAAUUAAUUCACUAGCCUGUUAAAUGAUUGCUUGAAAAUAAAACUUGUUCACCUGACAAUAAAGAAGCACGAAAGGAUUAAAUAAUUAAAAUAAUUAACACAAACAUUUUUUUGAAUCUGUAGAUAGCUUAGGUAUUAAUGUUUAAAUUUCCAAUUAGCUAGGCAUUUUAACAGAAGAUGCCUGGCUAAUUUGACUGUAAAUUAUGAAUAUUUCUGAAGAUAAAUAGCUUGUCCUCCUCUCUUGGAGACAUCUCACAUUUAAUCCUUUUGUCCUUUG